rnacentral:tRNA from 1 species
GGGCUUGUAGCUCAACGGUUAGAGCAGGGGACUCACGGAGAAGCAGGUUGGCUUGUGAUGGUUCAACUCCAUCUUCUCCGCAAGUAAUCCCUUGGUUGGGGGUUCGAAUCCCUCCAGGCCCA